rnacentral:rRNA from 1 species
GAUGAACGCUGGCGGCGUGCCUAAUACAUGCAAGUCGAGCGAACAGAUGAGGAGCUUGCUCCUCUGACGUUAGCGGCGGACGGGUGAGUAACACGUGGAUAACCUACCUAUAAGACUGGGAUAACUUCGGGAAACCGGAGCUAAUACCGGAUAAUAUAUUGAACCGCAUGGUUCAAUAGUGAAAGACGGUUUUGCUGUCACUUAUAGAUGGAUCCGCGCCGCAUUAGCUAGUUGGUACGGUAACGGCUUACCAAGGCAACGAUGCGUAGCCGACGUGAGAGGGUGAUCGGCGACACUGGAGCUGAGACACGGUCCAGACUCCUACGGGAGGCAGCAGUAGGGAAUCUUCGGCAAUGGGCGAAAGCCUGGCGGAGCAACGCCGCGUGAGUGAUGAAGGUCUUCGGAUCGUAAAACUCUGUUAUUAGGGAAGAACAAAUGUGUAAGGAAAUAUACACGUCUUGACGGUACCUAAUCAGAAAGCCACGGCUAACUACGUG